rnacentral:rRNA from 1 species
AUACGGAGGAUGCGAGCGUUAUCCGGAUUUAUUGGGUUUAAAGGGAGCGUAGGUGGGAUAUUAAGUCAGCUGUGAAAGUUUGGGACUCAACCUUAAAAUUGCAGUUGAUACUGGUUUCCUUGAGUACGGUACAGGUGGGCGGAAUUCGUGGUGUAGCGGUGAAAUGCUUAGAUAUCACGAAGAACUCCGAUCGCGAAGGCAGCUCACCGGGCCGGAACUGACACUGAUGCUCGAAAGUGCGGGUAUCAAACAGGAUUAGAUACCCUGGUAGUCCGCACAGUAAACGAUGUAUACUCGCUGUUUGCGAUACACGGUAAGCGGCCAAGCGAAAGCGUUAAGUAUUCCACCUGGGGAGUACGCCGGCAACGGUGAAACUUAAAGGAAUUGACGGGG